GAGGCCUGGCUGUAUUCUACAGUGCAUGUGUCUCCAGUGUUACUAAGCAACUGGAGAGACAGCCCUGUGGGAAUGA
ensembl:miRNA